GCCCGCCUAGCUCAAUCGGAUAGAGCGUCAGACUCUUACGGCGGGCGUGGAGUACACAGUUCCUGUGAUCUGAAGGCUGCGAGUUCGACCCUCGCGGUGGGCU
rnacentral:tRNA from 1 species